rnacentral:misc_RNA from 1 species
GAAAAACCAGUUCUUUAUUUUCUCUCUCUCACGCCUAUUUCACCUUUUUGAUCUCACAUUUCUUUGUGUAUUUAAUCCAACUUUCAUCACGAAGCAGAUAUCCAUCUGCAAUUUGUUGUGUUUUUGGAUCCAUCGACAUGUCCUUCUCGGAUUCUGACUCCUCAUCUUAUGGUGCCGACUACAAGAAUUUUAGACAAAUCAGCCGUGAACGUUUAUUACAUGAAAUGCUUCGGUCGGCCAAAGCAGGGGACUCAAAGUCAACCUGGAAGGUACUCAUCAUGGACAAACUUACUGUAAAGAUCAUGUCUUAUUCAUGCAAGAUGGCUGAUAUCACGCAGGAAGGAGUUUCAUUGGUAGAAGAUAUAUUCAGACGAAGGCAGCCGUUGCCCUCCAUGGAUGCCAUAUACUUCAUCCAACCAACUAAAGAGAAUGUUGUCAUGUUCUUGUCAGACAUGUCAGGGAAGUCACCUUUGUAUAAGAAGGCAUUUGUUUUCUUCAGCUCACCCAUUUCAAGAGAAUUGGUUGCUCAUAUUAAGAAAGAAACAACUGUAUUGACUCGCAUAGGAGCAUUGAGAGAGAUGAAUUUGGAGUAUUUUGCUAUAGACAGCCAGGGUUUUAUUACUGACAAUGAGAGGGCUUUAGAGGAACUUUUUGGGGAUGAGGAGGAUUCUCGCAAAGGUGAUGCAUGUUUGAGUGUGAUGGCUACUCGCAUCGCUUCAGUUUUUGCUUCUUUGAGGGAAUUUCCUUUUGUGCGCUAUCGUGCUGCCAAGUCCCUUGAUGUGACCACAAUGACAACUUUUCGUGAUUUGAUUCCCACAAAACUUGCUGCUAGAGUUUGGGACCGUCUAAUGCAUUACAAACAAAAGAUUGAACACUUUCCUCAGACAGAAACAUGUGAGCUGCUUAUCCUAGAUAGAUCUGCAGAUCAGAUUGCUCCUAUUAUACAUGAGUGGACAUAUGAUGCCAUGUGCCAUGAUUUACUGAAUAUGGAGGGAAAUAAAUACGUGCAUGAGGUUCCUGGUAAAACAGGUGGUCCUCCUGAGAAAAAAGAGGUUCUUUUAGAUGAACAUGAUCCUGUCUGGCUUGAGCUUCGCCAUGCACAUAUAGCAGUUGCUAGUGAACAAUUGCAUGAGAAGAUGACAAACUUUGUAUCAAAGAAUAAAGCUGCACAAAUCCAACAUAGUUCAAGAGAUGGUGAGCUUACCACACGGGACUUGCAGAAGAUGGUUCAAGCAUUGCCACAGUACAGUGAACAAAUUGAAAAGCUAUCCCUCCAUGUAGAGGUUGGUUUCUUUCUUCUGACAGUAAAUUGCCUUUUAUUUACUAAAACAAUUUUCUUAUAACUAACAUCCCUCUGAUCGCCCCUGGAGAUGCUAUUCCAAAUAUUCUGUUCUUCUUGGUUUUGAAACUUGAGUAAAAUGCGCCUUUGAUUCGCAUGACCAGCCAUUGCUUUCCUCAGGUUGAUUGACAAAUAUGUUAUAGUAUUUCAACUAUAUAUGUUAGUUACUUGAAACUAUUCUCCCCACACACCACCACCACACCCCUCCUCCCCCCCCCCAACAAACGCCCAUUUUUUCUUUUUUUUGAAAAUAACUAUUCUCCCCCAUUUAGGGUUAGUGCUAAUGGUCUAACACAGCCUGAACCUUGUAUCCUGUAUGUUAAUUUUAUUUAUCCAGCUCAAAAUCUAUUGAUUUUGUUUUAAUUGCUCCAACGGUCUAGGGCUUGUGCACUUGCUUAUGUUUUGUUUAGAUGAAAAGCAAAUAAGGACGUAACUUGUUGAUUUGAAGUAGGCCCUUGUUGAGCCUUAAAAGCCAAUAAAUUGUGACACGCUGCAAAUUUCUCCUUUCUCCUAAUACUGCUUAAAAUGUUGUUUGAGAUCCAUAUCAACUAUCAUUUACUGGCUCUUAGUGUUAAGGAGGGGCCCCAUCAUCAUGAUUGGCUUAGGGCUCAAUGUAACAAAAUGUUCAAACACCUCAGAUCCAAGUGCCGAUGUGUAGCUGUAUUCAAUAUAUGUACCCAAGUCGAAGUAACGCAGUUUGGUCACUAUUACAAAAGGUGAUUGUUUAAGGUAGCUGGACCAGAACUAUAGCAGCAGUUCGGUCAGGCCCUCCUGUGUAAAAAGAUCAAAAUUUGUUAAAUAUUCUCUCUUUUUCCUUCUAAACACAUAGGUUGAAAUCACACACAUUAGACGGAAAAGAAUAUCUAGUAUCUACUGGUUGACAGAAUCUUCACACGGUCAAGGCUUCAUGCAAAUUACAUUUUUGGAUUCAGAUUGCUGGAAAAAUUAACAGAAUUAUCAGGGAUUUGGGGCUUCGAGACAUAGGGCAACUGGAGCAGGACCUAGUUUUUGGAGAUGCAGGAACGAAAGAUGUAAUUAAAUUUUUAACUGCAAAAGAGGAUGUUACUCGCGAAAAUAAGUUGCGCUUGUUGAUGAUUCUUGCAGCCAUUUGUCCUGAGAAGUUUGAUAGUGAGAAGGGUCUUAAUCUAAUGAAGGUUGAUCUCCUUUCCCUUUAUCCUGCUAUAUACAGUUUCUUGUUCCUUUUUGAAGUCGAUCAGUUGUUUAGUUAAAUCAUGUCUUUCCUGAAUUGAUGCUGCCAGCAAUAUCUUGUUAUUCAUACUGAUCCUCUAUAGUUUGAAUGCCUCUCAGUUAGCAAAAUUACCGCAAGAUGAUAUGAAUGCAGUGAAUAAUAUGAGAUUCCUUCGGGGGUCUCCAGAGUCCAAAAAGAGUUCAACUGGAGCUUUCUCUCUAAAGUUUGACAUUCAUAAGAAGAAGCGUGCCGUUAGAAAAGACCGCACUGGUGAAGAAGAAACAACAAUUUGGCAAUUAUCACGGUUUUACCCUAUGAUAGAGGUACAUCCAAAGUUACAGUCAUUUUCAAUUUAUUAUUUCAUGCAUAAUUUCCCUUUUUGUUCUUUUUGCUAGCAUCAAAUAUCACGUGAUUAGAACACCUCUGAUAGCGUACAUUUCUUUUUGCCUAGUUUUCCUUUUACCCCUUUCUGGAGAAUGUGGGAAAAAGGAUUACCAUUCAUUUUUUGACAAAAUUCAGUUUUUGGCAACAAUUGAAUAUUUUAUUCUGAUGUCAUAUUGUCUCUAGUUAUACCAAAUUCAAUCAUCUGUACUGCACAUACCAUUUCACUAAAGUAGGUUGUUUUCUGUGCAUUUCUGGAGGUUACUUUCGUACAUGGUCAUGGAAUUUCAUUUGGUACAUAAAAAAAAUUUACUCAACUUUGAUUUUGUUUCAGUAAGUAACCUUUAUUAAAUGUUUUUAAAUUUUAGCCCAAUUUUUCACGUGAUGAUUAAGUGUGUCAAACCCUAUAACAUAUGUUUACUUGUAGAACUAUGUUAGACUAAUCUUUCUUUGUUAUCUUGUUAAAAAUCCAGUUAAAACUGUAUCAAAAUCUAGCAAUAUUAACUCUAUUAUUAAAACAUAUUUAAAGUUGAGUAAUUUUAAUAACCACACUGAAAUAGUGUGAAAAUUUAACAUCAUAGGUUGAACCAUGUUUAUGGGCAUCUGUACAUGUUUCCGAAUUCCCAAUGCCUUAUCUGUUGUUCUCCUAUCAGUUUCUGUUUGAAUCGAUGAGAUUCAAUUUUGGCUUGAUGCAUUUGUUAGUUGCGAAGCAAAUGAUGUGUGAUUUGAACUUUUGAAAAGAUUUGUAAGGAUGUCAUGGAUUUCUAAUAUGGGCUGCUUGAUAAUUUAUUUUUGUCAUCUUGUUGUACAAAAUUAUUUAUUCAUUUUGCAACUUCUGCCAAGAUUAUGUUAACGCUUAUUUGGAUAAAUAUGAAUUCCAAAUCAUGAGGUAUUUGAAUUUGAUAUCAUGUAGAAAUUUUAUGAUUUUUCCCUUGAAACACAAAUUCAAAUCCUCAGCUAUAAGUCAAAUGGACCGUCCAAAAGAAUGAAAACUUGCUGAAAUGGUAUUCAUCUAUCAGGAACUUGUUGAAAAACUUAGCAAAGGAGAACUAUCCAAGGAUGAAUAUCCAUGUAUGAAUGACCCAAGUGCAACCUUCCAUGGAACAUCCCAUGCCGCAUCAAUGAAUCAACCACCAGCACCUCAUUCAAUGAGAUCAAGACGGACACCAACAUGGGCUCGACCUCGGAACUCUAAUGAUGGAUAUUCAAGUGAUUCGAUACUGAAACAUGCAUCUAGCGAUUUCAAGAAGAUGGGCCAGCGUAUUUUUGUAUUUAUUGUUGGUGGAGCUACCAGAUCUGAGGUAUGAAGAUCUUAAUCUCAAGUUCAUUUUAAUUGUUGUUUUCUGUACUUACAAUUUCUUGUCUCUCUGUGUCAUGCACAACACAAUUAUCUCCAGCUAAGGGUAUGUCACAAGCUUACAAGUAAGCUACAGAGGGAAGUGGUGCUAGGCUCUUCAAGUCUCGAUGAUCCUCCACAAUUUAUUACGAAACUAAAACUAUUGACAGCGCAUGAGCUCUCAUUGGAUGAUCUACAGAUAUAAAUGCGGUGGGAUAAGGAGCUGAGUACAGGCUUUCAAUAGCUUUCUGAUCCCAUUUGUAUUCGUAGAUUAGAUACUUGAAUUCAUUGUAUACAUUUUUUUAGCGUUCAAUGUAAAAUGUCUGCUGCUUGAUAUUCUUAGUGGACUGAUUCUGCCUGGGUUGUGUUUAAGCAUUCUGCUUAACCAGGUUCAGCAUUCUGCUUAACCAGGUUC